UACCAUUUCAGGAGGACGUGAACAGAUACCCAGGGAAGAAGAGAAGCGGCUUUUCAUUUCUCCUAUUUCUGUCAUCAUCCAUUCAGUGGGAAGCCCUCCAGCUGAUUCUGAUGGGUAGCCAGAGUUGAAAACCGAUGGAGGACCCCUACCGUGAUCCUCCCCAGAGAAGCCCUCACACAGGAGCACAAGGAGGCACGCCAAAGACAUGGCCCCAGUACAAGGCACCGGAAAUAGUCUACAUGUCCAUCAACAGAAUGGCUUUGAAAGAACCUAGGAAUAUCCAUAGUAAGGAUUAUAGUGCAGCAGUUUUAAAAAACAAAGCGUAUCUCUCCAAAUUGUCAUCGAGAGCCUUCUCAGGCGUCGUGCAAAAAGGAAGUGAGAGAACAACACAUACAGUGCAAUACAGCUUACGUUAAAGAAAUGUCCACAUGCUAAAGACAAUGCUGUUUUCUAGAAGUAUACAGAUAUGAACGUAAAUACAAAGAAAGAGGACUAGAAAGAUAUGUUACCAAACUGAUAUUCGUAUCUGAUAUUAGUAUAAUUGGAAAAGUGGAAUUUCACCUUAUUCAUAUUAUUUAUAAGUGCAUUAACUCAUUUAAUUUGUGUAAAUUAAAACAUUUUUUUAAGAGACAACACAGGGCUCAAACUCAAGCCCUGGGGAAGUGGAGCCUGGGGCAUGAGGAUUAGGAGUCAGAAGCAUGUGCCUAAGAGGUUUGGCGGUGAGUGGGGAAAUGUGGGCAGAGUGCUUCUAGGGCACAGCCCCUGCAUUCGGAAUUUUUAAAGCACCUUCGAAAUACUCCUGGGUCAGAGAAGAAAUCAUAAUGGUAAUUAGAGAACACUGAGACCUGAAUAAUAAUAAAAUAUACUCCAUCUCAGGCCCGUGUGAUGCAAUGAAGUGACACUUUGAUGGAUGUUGACAGCUGUUAAGUGCUCAGACUUGGGGAGAAUUUGGGGGUGGAUUAGUGAUCUGUAGGUUGGAGACUGAGCAAAUGGCACGACUAUUGACUUCAGAGAUAAUUAAAAGUUGUAAAGAAAAGAAAAUAAUGGAAUGCUACAUGAGUCAGCGUAUGACCGUUUCAUGGUCACAAUAUAAACACUGGGCACUGAUCCUCCAGAUUCGCACGGUCCAUGAGCAGAGAAUUUUUGCUCUUUCAUUCACUGCUGUCCUCCAGCCUCUAGAGCAGUGCCUGGAAUGUCAAAGGCUCUUAACAACUAUUGUCGAAUAAACCUAACCAGAAUUAUGACAUAACUACAUCAGAAGGAUGCUAGGACAUAAAAAUGUACAUCUGUAUGGUGGCAGUGGGGUGAAAGAGGGACAUCCUUAAAUUUUAUAGCAAUAGGAAAUAGAAAUAGGAAAAUAAUAGGUAAUGCCUAAAAUGGAAGAUUUAUGAAGUAGCAACAGAAGCAUGUGAUUUAGAAAUAGAUGGUAAAUACUAAAAGCAAAACAAAACAGCAAAAAGAUUUGGAACUGGAUAUCUCUGGCAAGAGAGAAAGGAACAGUUAGCUUUUAAAAAAAAGCCAUAUAACAUUGUUCAGUUGUUUUAAUCUCUGGGUACGUAUUGUGGACUGCAUGCUAGCCCCAAAAGAUAUGUCUAUGUCCUAACCUCUGGAAUUUAUGAAUGUGAGGUUUUUUGGAAAAAGGUCUUUACGAAUGUAAUUAAGGAUCUUGAGAUAAGAUCAUCCUGGAUUAUCUGGGUGGGCCCUAAAUCAAAUGACUAGUGUUCUUAUAAGACAGAGAGAGACAGAGAGAGAAGAGAAGGCCAUGUGAAGAUGGAAGCAGAAAUUGGAGUUAUGCAGACAAGCCAAGAAAUGCCUGGAGCCACCGGAAGCUGGAAGAGACAAGAAAGGAUUUUGUCCUAGAGCCUUUGAAGGGAGUAUGGCACUGCAGACACCUUGAUUCUGAACU